UGUUGAUAUUAAAAAAAUGAUAUGUUUGAGAAUCGAUUAAAUUGGUUAGUGAUCCUGACUGAUUCAUCAAAAUUUCCUUGAGUGGCAUUCAUUUUUUUGAUUCACUAAUAAACUAAGUAUGCUACUUUUAUGAUCCUUGCAGUUCAUUUCUUCAUGAGGUGUAUGAUUAUCAAAUUUAUAUUAAUUUAUGAAAAGUGGUGGACCUUCCAACAAUGUAUCCAUGAGUCUGUUUUUUUUCUCAUACAAUUGUAGUUUUUUAGAGAGUAAGAGUUAUAGUGGGUCAUUGGUAAUAAUGGGUCAUUGAUGUUGUUGUUAUAUAUUUCUCAUCAUUUAGACUAACAAGAUUGUUUCAAUUCUUUGUUGUCGGCGCACAAGGAUCUCAAAACACCAUUUUUGAUGCCUGGGUACAAAGUCGCUGACGAUUAUGGGAUUAUGCUUGUGACUGCUGUGAGGAUCGAUACUGAAUGGGGAUUAUUGAUGGCCAGUAUAUCGGAAGGCAGUGGUGAACAAACUCCAUUAUAGGUGACUAUUAUGGUUGUUGUUGUACCUAAAGGUCUUCCAUUGGCUAUUACAUUGAUUCUUGACUACUCAAUGAAGAAGAUGAUGGCAAACAAAGCAUUGGUAUGCUUCUCUUCUUAUCGUUUCACAAGUUAAUAGCCUCCGAAGCUGUAACGUAGCCAUAUGCAAGACUUGGAUCUUGUUAUUCUAGUUACUAAUUAGCCUGUGAAUUAUAAAUAGUCUUGCCUACUCAAUGAAGAAGAUGAUGACAGACAAAGCAUUGGUAUGCUUCUCUUCUUAUCAAACUAGAAUUCUAUACGUUCAACUAUUAUUAAGUUGCUACGUUACAUCUUCGGAGUGUAUCAACUUGUGAAACGAUUGGAUCUACCACUACCAGCUGCAACGAUAAAACUGGAACUCUAACAUUUAAUCAGACCAUUGAGGCACUAUCAUGUGUUUCUUCACCCAAACUUGCCUUGAGGUUGUACUUACAAUGUGCAAAGGAUUCAAAAGCUCAAGUGACAGCAAUUCAUAAUUAUUGGACCUCUACAGAGGAUGAACGUAUUGGGAGUUGAGAAUAGAGAUACGCUAACCCAUAAAGCCACAGGGGUGAGUUUUUUACCCAUGCUCAUUCAUUUUUAAUUCUAUUUAUUAUAAACUUCAGAGUUCAUUUCUUCCUUUUUCCUUGGCAAUAUUCUGCAAAGCUUUUGAAAAAGCCUGAUCAGUGCAGCAUAGUUUAUGCUUGCUCACACCUCUUUGGGGUUGAUGAUCAAGAUGGAAUCAAGGAUGAAGAAAGUUAAAAUUUGCAGUUGCUCUCUUUCCUUUCCUUUAAUGCUUUGAAUUCUGUACCUGAAGACUGAUUAGCAGCGUCUUUAGGAGUUCUUGCAAACCCAUUUUUUCUUUGGCAUAUAUGGCCAUGAACUCUAUAUCUAUUCAUUCAAAUUGGUCUCUUGUUAUUUAUGACUUCUCGGUAACUGCAUUUA